CCAGGGGGCCGGGCAGCCGCGUCAGAGCAAUCUGCCGAGGAAAGUCCGGGCUCCACGAAGCAAGGGUGGCGGGUAACGCCCGCCGGGCCGGGUGGCCGGCUUUCGGGCCAGCCGCACGGUUCAGGGAAAGUGCCACAGAGAACAGACCGCCAAACGCGCCCCCGGGCGCGCGGCAAGGGUGAAACGGGGCGGCAAGAGCGCCCCGCGCGCGCCGGCAACGGCCGCGGCACGGCAAACCCCACCCGGAGCAAGACCGAAUAGGGAUGGCGCGCCGCGCGAGCGGCAGGCGGGUUUCGCGCCGAGCUGUCCGGGUUGGUCGCUGGAGCACGGUGGCAACACCGCGCCGAGAGGAAUGGCUGCCGAUGCGGGGGGCAACCCCCGCGGAACAGAACCCGGCUUACAGGCCCCCUGGCACC
rnacentral:RNase_P_RNA from 1 species